AAACUUCAGUAGCCAAUAACAAUAUACGAUAGUAAAUGGACCAAUGAAAGCCCUGAUAUCUGAACCGCGAGAAAAGCUGCCGCUGCAGCAGCAGGUUUGGAGGAGCUGAUCGGACAGUGAGGGAGCUCAGCGUAAUUUAUGGACUCAAAGUUUGGAGAAACAAACUACAUGUAUCUCCCGUAGGCCUAUAUACCGAUCUCGCUCUGAGUUUGACACGCAUCCGCCUCCUUUCAAUUACAGAGUCUGAAUGUCCGCGCGGGAUUGCAGAGUCCUGGCACAUUUAAAACCUGCAGUAGUUCCAAAAGGAUCAACCUCUUUCAUUCCUUGAGGGAAUAAUUUUGUACGCUGUCAAGCACCGAAUUGAAUUGUAGGACACUUGGAUGGCUGCUGCCACUGCCAGCGGGUCCCAAGACCAUCUCAAAUGUCACUUCAGCCGACUGCUAACAUGUGGCCCUUUGGCCAGUGACUCUGACAUGCUAUUAUCUGUCUGGAGAAGAGACGACGCGGUGUUGUCAGAAACCCGUGUCUCUACACAUGUAUCCAUCACAGAGUGGCAGAUGGCUUGGAUCAAAUUAUUUUUUGUGUAAAAGGCCGUGUGAAGUUUCAAAACGUGACUGCCACAGAUGCCUCUCACAGGAGGCAUAAUAGAGCAUCUUGUGUGGCGGCUGCAGAUGCCUCUUGCAAAAGGCAUAAUAGAGGAGCACCUUGGGAGAAUCCAGCAGCCAUAUGGAUGAGGCUGCGGUUUUCUUCUGGCUCAACCCAACAAAUUUACAAAAGAAUGCAUUAAGGUACCAUGAGGCCCCUAACCAAUGUGGGCUUGAAUGUCAGCGAAUCUAUUGUAUUUGUUCUGAACGUCAACACUAAUACACAAGUACAGAUUUUAAAACUAAUUCAGCCUUCACCGGCUCUAAAUAUAUGACACAAUCUAGUUCUUAUAUAUGUAUCUAUUUCUGACAUAAAUAUGUCAAUGAGUAUGCAUCAUUACAGACUAACAAGUAAGUCUCACUGGGAUGCUCCUUCCCCUCCUCUGUCGCUGACUUCAUUAGCAUUAUUGUAAGGGGAAAAUGAAUGGCAUAGCAUUGUUUAGUAGCAUGUGCUUCGUGCACCCCGUUCACUAAGGCCCUGUUUACACCUGGUUUUGAAAUCUCUUUGUUGUUCAGAUCAAAAGUGAAGGGGCAUCUCAAAAGCAUCUCCUGUGACCACUUGUGCUUGGAUUUCAUGGAUAAGUGGCUUGCAAAAUACUCAUUAUGUCAGUAUGUUACAUUAUUAUGCUAUGUUCAUCUUUGCAUAAUCACAAUUUUAGAUUAGGCAAACAUAUAUAAAUUAUAAUAUACAUUUUUUUUUAACUAAUAAAUUAGAAUGAUUCACCACA